rnacentral:rRNA from 1 species
AUACGUAGGGUGCAAGCGUUGUCCGGAAUUAUUGGGCGUAAAGAGCUCGUAGGCGGCUUGUCGCGUCUGCUGUGAAAACCCGAGGCUCAACCUCGGGCUUGCAGUGGGUACGGGCAGGCUAGAGUGUGGUAGGGGAGAUUGGAAUUCCUGGUGUAGCGGUGGAAUGCGCAGAUAUCAGGAGGAACACCGAUGGCGAAGGCAGAUCUCUGGGCCACUACUGACGCUGAGGAGCGAAAGCAUGGGGAGC